rnacentral:rRNA from 1 species
GAUGAACGCUGGCGGCGUGCCUAAUACAUGCAAGUCGAGCGAACGGACGAGAAGCUUGCUUUUCUGAUGUUAGCGGCGGACGGGUGAGUAACACGUGGAUAACCUACCUAUAAGACUGGGAUAACUUCGGGAAACCGGAGCUAAUACCGGAUAAUAUUUUGAACCGCAUGGUUCAAAAGUGAAAGACGGUCUUGCUGUCACUUAUAGAUGGAUCCGCGCUGCAUUAGCUAGUUGGUAAGGUAACGGCUUACCAAGGCAACGAUGCAUAGCCGACCUGAGAGGGUGAUGGGACACACGGGAACGGAGACAGGGUCCAGACUCCUACGGGAGGCAGCAGUAGGGAAUCUUCCGCAAUGGGCGAAAGCCUGACGGAACAACGCCGCGUGAGUGAUGAAGGUCUUCGGAUCGUAAAACUCUGUUAUUAGGGAAGAACAUAUGUGUAAGUAACUGUGAACAUCUUGACGGUACCUAAUCAGAAAGCCACGGCUAACUACGUG